AGAGCGAACGCUGGCGGCAGGCCUAACACAUGCAAGUCGAGCGCCCGUAGCAAUACGGGAGCGGCAGACGGGAUAGUAACACGUGGGAACGCGCCCUUCGGUUCGGAAUAACUCAGGGAAACUUGAGCUAAUACCGGAUACGCCCUUACGGGGAAAGAUUUAUUGCCGAAGGAACGGCCCGCGUCCGAUUAGCUAGUUGGUGAGGUAAUGGCUCACCAAGGCGACGAUCGGUAGCUGGUCUGAGAGGAUGACCAGCAUCACUGGGACUGAGACACGGCCCAGACUCCUACGGGAGGCAGCAGUGGGGAAUAUUGGACAAUGGGCGCAAGCCUGAUCCAGCCAUGCCGCGUGGAUGAUGAAGGCCUUAGGGUUGUAAAGUCCUUUUAACGGGGAAGAUAAUGACGGUACCCGUAGAAUAAGCCCCGGCUAACUCGUGCCAGCAGCCGC
rnacentral:rRNA from 1 species